rnacentral:rRNA from 1 species
UACGUAGGGCGCAAGCGUUAUCCGGAAUUAUUGGGCGUAAAGAGCUCGUAGGCGGCCUGUUGCGUCCGCUGUGAAAGCCCGGGGCUUAACCCCGGGUCGGCAGUGGAUACGGGCAGGCUAGAGGUAGGUAGGGGAGAAUGGAAUUCCCGGUGUAGCGGUGAAAUGCGCAGAUAUCGGGAAGAACACCCGUGGCUAAGGCGGCUCUCUAGUACGGUACUGACGCUGAGACGCGAAAGCGUGGGGAGCGAACAGG